rnacentral:rRNA from 1 species
AUUGAACGCUGGCGGCAGGCCUAACACAUGCAAGUCGAGCGAGCGGCGGACGGGUGAGUAAUGUCUGGGAAACUGCCUGAUGGAGGGGGAUAACUACUGGAAACGGUAGCUAAUACCGCAUACCAUCAGAUUUGCCCAGAGGGGCUUAGCUGGUAGGUGGGGUAACGGCUCACCUAGGCGACGAUCCCUAGCUGGUCUGAGAGGAUGACCAGCCAAACUGGAACUGAGACACGGUCCAGACUCCGACGGGAGGCAGAAGUGGGGAAUAUUGCACAAUGGGCGCAAGCCUGAGACAGCCAUGCCGCGUGUGUGAAGAAGGCCUUCGGGUUGUAAAGCACUUUCAGCGGGGAGGCGGUACCCGCAGAAGAAGCACCGGCUAACUCCGUGCCAGCCGCCGCGGUAAUAC